rnacentral:rRNA from 2 species
GACAGAGGCCACAAGCGUUAGGCGGAAUCACUGGGCUUAAAGCGUGUGUAGGUGGAUGUCUAAGUACCUUGUGAAAUCCCACGGCUCACCCGUGGAACUGCUUGGUAUACUGGACGUCUUGAGCCAUCUAGGGGCAGCUGGAACGAACGGUGGAGCGGUGAAAUGCGUAGAUAUCGUUCGGAACGCCAAUGGUGAAAACAGGCUGCUGGGGAUGUGCUGACACUGAGACACGAAAGCCAGGGGAGCAAACGGG